rnacentral:rRNA from 1 species
GACGAACGCUGGCGGCGUGCUUAACACAUGCAAGUCGAACGGAAAGGCCCUGCUUUUGUGGGGUGCUCGAGUGGCGAACGGGUGAGUAACACGUGAGUAACCUGCCCUUGACUUUGGGAUAACUUCAGGAAACUGGGGCUAAUACCGGAUAGGAGCUCCUGCUGCAUGGUGGGGGUUGGAAAGUUUCGGCGGUUGGGGAUGGACUCGCGGCUUAUCAGCUUGUUGGUGGGGUAGUGGCUUACCAAGGCUUUGACGGGUAGCCGGCCUGAGAGGGUGACCGGCCAAAUUGGGACUGGGAUACGGCCCAGCCCCCUACGGGGGGGAGGGGGGGGGAAUAUUGCAAAAGGGGGGGAAGCCUGAUGCAGCAACGCCGCGUGGGGGAUGAGGGCCUUCGGGUUGUAAACCGCUUUCGCCUGUGACGAAGCGUGAGUGACGGUAAUGGGUAAAGAAGCACCGGCUAACUACGU